rnacentral:rRNA from 1 species
AUUGAACGCUGGCGGCAGGCCUAACACAUGCAAGUCGAACGAGUGGCGGACGGGUGAGUAAUGUCUGGGAAACUGCCUGAUGGAGGGGGAUAACUACUGGAAACGGUAGCUAAUACCGCAUACCAGCGGAUGUGCCCAGAUGGGAUUAGCUAGUAGGUGGGGUAAAGGCUCACCUAGGCGACGAUCCCUAGCUGGUCUGAGAGGAUGACCAGCCGCCCGUGAACUGAGACACGGUGCAGACUCCUACGUGAGGCAGCAGUGGGGAAUAUUGCAAAAUUGGCGCUAGCCUGAUGCCGCCAUGCCGCGUGUAUGAAGAAGGCCUGCGGGUUGUAAAGUACUUGCAGCUGGGAGGCGUGACCCGCAGAAGAAGCACCGGCUAACUCCGUGCCAGCAGCCGCGGUAAUAC